UCUCUCUCUUCUCUUUCUGAAAGUAAUGUCCCUUGGGACCUUGUCCCUAGAUCGGACGGUUUUUUCCAUCAUCCAGAGGAUCGCUGGUGAUUUUCAAGCACAAGAACACCUCAGGCAUCUGAAGGGGACACUGUGCGGUUGCAGCGGUCUGGUUCCUGGGACGUUAAAGCAAGAGUACAGGACCAGUUGGUGCCAAGGUCCUACCGGGUUCUCACCGAAGACGGGAGAGGGGUACGACGGAAUCGCCAGCACCUUCUUCGAACUCCGGAGGUAUUCACCCUUCCUACGGUAGCUCCGGAUUACAGCACCACAAACAAGACCACGGAAGCAGCAACACCUCAAGCCGAGCCAGGUCCCACAUCAAAAGGUCCAGCCGAGGACAACAGCCAGGUACCACCAGUGAUGGCGCCUCAACUGAGAAGAUCAUCGAGGCAGCGAAGGCCGCCAGAUCGACUAAUGUGGUGUACGCAUCAACUUUGAGGGUAUGACGGAUGCUGCGGUUAAGACGACGGUGAAGAAAUGACUCUACCCUGCUGCAGAUAGAAAACGUGGACGGUCAAGGAGGCGGAGGCGAAAGGAGACUGCGCAAUAGAAUUAUAUUUCUACAAUUCUUGUAGAACGUACUCCUAUUACUUCUUCCUUCUACCCGUACAUACUCCCGAUGAUUUCUUUGAAACUGUACGUUUGAAAGACGUUUGUUUAAACCGAACAAGAAGUGCGCAAGAAACAUGACAAUCGUUCCAUACUUCACGGUGUUUUUCGAUUGCACGUAUAGUAUACAUACACACACAGAGGCACUAUGUACAAUAUAUAAUUACAUAGAGAUAUGUAUUGUUAAGUAUUCACGUUCGCGCAAACGUUGACGAGUCAAAUGGAAUUCGAUCUUAUGCCAUUUUGGCCAAAGGAGCCGACGCCAAACGAGGAAUGUGCUGCACAGUCAGGCUUGUUCCAUGUUUGGCUACUUUAGCUGGACAAACAUGGCCAAGUUUGGGUUAACAUUGGGCUACAUUUGGCAUGUAGCUUGGGUACACAUUGAAAGUGCCCAAGGGGACCAAGCGAAAAUGGAAAAGUUGCGAACGCAACUGGCAAAACAAGAAAAUGAUCCUGUUGUCCAUGCCGAACAGGAGAGUUCCGAUCGUGCGAAGGAGAGGGUUCAGAAAACGCCGCAGAGGAGUCAGGAGACACCUUUGCCACAAGUCAGAAAAGGCUGUGGAUUUGUACUACAUACGGUGGAAACACACAACAUUUGCACAGCACAUACAUAUUUGCCCUUUUUGUUCUUCUUUUACUGAAUGUAUGCAUUGUACUGCUCGCAUCUCUCAUGAUCAUACUUGUCUCGAGACUUAAACCCUUAAAAUUAUUUUAGGAAACAAUGCAUACCUGCAUCAAAUUUGUCCAGUGACGUGGACAAUGGCUCAAACCUUUUUACACAGAAGUUGUUGCCACGACAGAUAUUUACUUUCUCAUGUACAGGUUUUCCCGUCCAUUUUAGUCCAAGUCAUCUGAUUUAAUUCACGUGCCAUCUGAAAUAAUCCAGGCGCUAUACAACACAAUCCAGGUGCCAUGGCAGUUUUAAGCACUAUAAUCUGUAUCGUCGCACCACGAACAUCAUCGCAGAAUAUUCUAGUGGAAGGAAAAGUGAAAAGAAAAAAAAAAGUUAAAGGAGUCUUAUGUUGAGCAUUCACCGUGCGCCUAGGCAUUGGAAGUUGGAGCCGGAGUACAGCGAACCACAUUGGUGCUGUCGUCUGCAACACAAUAUCUUCUGACUUAGACACGAUAUUCCGCGCGGUUAGAAUAGCACGAAAUGGCGCGACCAACAUAGCAGACGAUAGCCUUGGUCCCGUCGUCUGCUACGGAUUAUUUUGUAGCUGAGCUGCAUGAUAUUCGUUGCGGACAGAGGAGUACGCGAAUGGACAUGGCACACAUAACAGACGACACCAUUGGUCCUGUCGUCUGCUACGGAAUAUCUUUUGACUGAGCUGCUUGAUAUUACGUGCGGUUAGAAGACCGCGAGAAGACAUUAAACACAUAACAGACAAAGCAGUUAGUUCUGCCGUCUACUACGGAAUGACUCAGCGGCAGGUUCUUCUGGCAUUACCCUGUUGAAAAAGCCUGGUUUGAAAUUAUGCCAGAACUGGUAUGACUAUACCAGUUUCUGUUUUUGCUGAUAAAUAUCAAAACCAGAAAUACCAGUUUCUGGUUUGCACUGCACCAAGACAACAGACAUGCUGACAUGACCAUAUGUCAGCAGUGCCUGCAUCCUGGUUUGACAACUUGUCAGAUACACCAGUCAUGCCAGAAACCGAUGUAGCUGUAUCAGCAUUGCCAUGACCAUAUACCUGCGGCACAUGCACCUGGUUUGGUUACUUGUUAGGAACAUGAGUCAUACCAGAAACUGAUGUAUUCAGUUCGUACCAGUGCUGGUAUUGGAAAAUAUCAGUACAUGUGAGAGAUACCAGCGUCCUCUUUUGUUAAAUUAUUGUCGCAAUGCAUAUGUUAGUGAAUUUUAGCUACUGUCUCAGCAAACUUAAUCAUGCAAGCACAGUUUGGGCAGUAGAAGAUGCUUAAUGCAAAGUAAUAUUUGUAGCAAUAUGUCCUGUAGAAAUAUAUAGGGUUCCAUCUUUCCGGAGUUUUCAUUUUGGAAAAUUCUGAGGCUGUACAUCGGAGUUCUCAACUUUUCCGAAAUUCGGAGUAUUUCGCAAUAGUCAUCGCAGAGGCAAUGCAAGAGAAGAAGUGCAAAAGAGUGACUGAGAUCACACGAUAUAGCGUAUUGGCACAAAGUGUGAAUGGUGCCCAGACUCCAAAUAAGUAGCAGCUAUGAAGAACACAGAACUGUUCUGUGCCAAACUAGCCCAAUCCCGGGGUCAAAUAGAGUUACGAGGGUCAAGGAUGCAUAGAACAGAUGGGUCAAGUGUGUGCACCCCCCUCCUUUUGGGCCAUUGAUGUGUCCAGCGACCCUGAAGAUCGGCUACCACUUCUGACCCAUUUUUGGUUGUGGAUCAGUUUGAAGUCGAAAAAUAAGCGUGGAAGAGGGGGGGGGAAAGGACGAAGGAAACGGGGAAAAGUUUGUCAGAUGAAUCAGAUUUGUUUGCAAAAAUCAUCGAAGGGAGCUUGUCGGAUAAAUCCGAAAAGUCGGAAGCCUAUGUAUAAAAUAAACAUUUCCCUCGCAUUUAACACAGCACACAUGUAUAGCCCACCCGCGAGCCCAGAUAAUAUAGGGCCGGCCCACACUCGUAAAGUACAAUAAAGUUUAUUCUUAAAUCGUUUCCGUACAUUUGCACGUGUUCUGCAUUCACAAAGUAGUACAAAUAACCUUGUCAUAUCUUUGAUAAGUAAAGUAAGGUCAUCACGAUAUCGCAGAUGCCCCAACUGCUUGUGACGCGCUUUUCUGAGAUUGCCUCUAAGUAGUUCUGCAGCCCUGCCCUUGAAUUAUGUUGUGCCAGUAGUGCAUUUGAUCCGUGUGCCACAUGCUGCUGUGUUUAUUACUUGAAAUAAAUGAUCUUGAUACCAAAAUUGGGGACGGGGCAGGCCGUGGGGUGCAAGGAGUACUCUGGAGUACAGUCAUAGUUAUGGCAAAAGAGCACCUUAUUAUGCUAUCAAGUACCACUUCGAUAAACAGGACAUAGUCAUGAAGCACUUUCAGCCAAGUGAUGUUAACAAGAAUUGAACCUCUGUAAGCAAAAAGGGGGAUAAGUCGACUAUCCCCUUUUUUAGUAUAUCUGUUGCAUGACAUCAGCGUACCAGUAUGUACCUGUCAAAGAAAAUUUAGAACCGUAUUGCAAUUUAUUGACUUUCUAUAGGAGGGUAAGAAACCCCUUUUUUACACACAUACAGAAGGUAUAGCUUAAAUUUUGGUAUGAUCCAGAAAUUAACUUUCGACUUCCACUAGAAAAACAUAUGUACUUCAUAUACCUCACGUGACCAUGUCAUUUGACCGUGUCAGUGCUACCGAUCAUUGUAAUCGUAAAAACGUGCGCACCAAGAAGUCACAUUAUGCUGACCACGUAGGACAUUAUUUUCAAGACUGCUCGAUUAGCAACAUGUUACACCCAAUCUAGGCCGCUCCACUGCACAAAGACAGCUUUGCACUAUCUGACAUCACCAUCAAUGUCCGACUUGAGAAAACUGUUUCUUUUUUUUUGCCUGCAUGGAAAUCAUGUGUGUGCACUGUUAUAUGGAAAAAGGGGAUAUGUGAUGCUUCCAGAUUUUGUUCAGUUUCUCUUAAGAUACACAACCAAAAAUGAUGCUAACAGGACAUGCAUGUAGUUGUGUGUGCAUAGAUGUUACACAUUUUGCAUUUGCAUUAUUCAAGAAAAAUCAGCUGCAAUUACUUUACCAAACAUUCACGUUAUUCGCCGUUUGGGAUUUCUCGACUUACCCCCGUUGUUGCACACUGAGGUUCAAUUCCUUAUUUCUCUAUGCAUGAUGUUAAACAAAGGUUAAUUACAAAAAAGUAUCUAAUCUAAGACUGCGUAUAAAAUUGUCAAAUGUAAAUGUCAUGUCAUGUAAAAUGUCAAUGUCAAUUUUUCUUCACACUGCAUAUGAAACUGAAUUCCUACAUUGCGCAGCACUCAAACCAACUGAUAGAAAGCUUCAAGCUCUUAUGUACAAAGGAUGUUGUGAACAGAAAUAAAUUUAUGGAUUGUGAC